AUUUCACAUGUGAACCGAGUCCUACCUCAAACGGAGAUAUAUUGCACUCUCAGGUACCGAGGAGAUGACCGUGUGGAGGCAAGGACGAAGACCCGGACACACAAGAAGAAGGAGAAGGAGAAGCAAGAAGAACGAGAGGAGUCGGAGCUCUCUAGACGCCCCGGGUUCCCGGCCCCGCAGCCUCGGGUGCCCGGGCCUCUUCCAGCCGCCGGCCCAGCCCACUCCGGGUGCCCGGCCCCUUGGCAUCGGGUGCCCGGGCCACCCCCGCUCCGGCCCAGUUCCCCCACCGGGUGCCCGGGCCAUCACCCCGGGUGCCCGGCCCAGCUCCUGGCGCUGCCUCGGCCCUCCCCGGGUGCCCGGCCACCUCUUGGCGCCCGCCCCUGUCCGGACCGGCUGCCCGGUCCCUCGCACUCCGGGUGCCCGGACCACUCCGCGUGCCUGCGUGCACUUUUGGGAUUUGGUCCCUUGUAUCCCCUUCUUCCUCUCAUUUCGUCCCUAGACUAUAUAAGCACCUCCCCUAGCUCAUUUGUAGGAUAGCUAAGAAUAGACACAAAUCAUAGAGCUUAGCUCAUGUACCUCCCCUUGUGGGAUUCCUCUUGAGAGAGAAGACUCCAUUGGAGUACAAGACCUCCAUUGGAGAAGAUCCCUAGGGAUUCAAGCCCCCCUUGAGGGAAGGAUCUACCUAGAUCAUCAAGCCCUCAUCUCCUUCAUAGGAUUUGGGAUGAACUCUACCAUGUAUCUUGUUUCCCUUUGAUUGUUCAUGUACCUUGUGGAUCUUGUGUGUUUGUUGGUCUAGUGGAUGUGUGAUUGGACUUGUUCUUGAGUGUUCCUCUUGUUUUCUCUCUUGUGUUCAUCUUGUUCUUGGGGAUUCCCCCUCCAAUUCGUGAAAGAUCUCCAUCUAGGGUUCCACCCUACAACACAACCUCUGCUUCCCUCUAUGAAGGGCCUAUCUUUUACUUUUCAGUAUUUACUUUUAUGCAAAGAGUCAAAGUUUUUCUCUUUGUUCCUUUUUAUUUUUCUCCUUUGGCAAGCAUCAUGUGGUGAGGAAAAAUCUAGGCACACAUGUCCAGUUGCAUAUGGGUGGCGUGAGUUAUUAUUGUUGACGUCACUCUUGAGGUGAAUACAUUGGGAGGCAAAACAAUAAGCCCCUAUCUUUCUAUGUGUCCGGUUGAAACAUUUUGCUCAUGUGUACGCGGUGAGUGUUAGCAAUCAUAGAAGACUAUAUGAUGGUUAAGUGUGUGGAGCUCUUACUUAAACUCUAUUGAAUAAGUUGAAUUGCAAUUUCUUGGUGGCUAAGAACAUAGGUUUCUGGGUUUCAAGAGAAUUCAUUGUUUGCACCUUAACAUGUGAAUUGGUUGCCACUAUAACAUGAGAAGUUUUAUAACAAAGAAUUGUUGUUAUGAUGCUACGAAAAGUGAUUGAAUUAUCAUAGAUCAAAUUUGUGCACUUUGCUAGCAUUCACACUUCAUAAAUUAUUUCUUUUAUCAUUUACUUACUUGAGGACGAGUAGGAAUUAAGCUUGGGGAUGCUGAUACGUCUCCAACGUAUCUAUAAUUUAUGAAGUAUUCAUGUUAAUAUAUUAUUAUUCUUGGAUAUUUUGCAAUUAUUUUAUAGCAACUUUAUAUCAUUUUUUGGGACUAACCUAUUGACCCAGUCCCAAGUGCCAGUUGCUAUUUUUUGCUUGUUUUUUACAUCGCAUGAAAUCAAUAUCAAACGGAGUCCAAACGCAACGAAACUUUACGAAGAUUUUGUUUGGACCAGAAGGAACCCAUUGGGCCAGAGCUGCACCUGGGGGGUGCCUCGAGAGGGGCACAACCCACCAGGGCACGCCAAGCCCCCCUGGCGCGCCCAGGUGGGUUGUGCCCACCUCGGUGGCCUCCCGCACCCCCUCUUUGCACUAUAAAUUCUCAAAUAUUCUGAAACCCUCCGGGGUUAACCUAGAUCAGAAGUUCCGCCGCCGCAAUCCUCUGUAGCCACCGAAACCCAAUCGGGAGCCCGUUCCGGCACCCUGCCGGAGGGGGGAAUCAUCUCCGGUGGCCAUCUUCAUCAUCCCGGCGGCCACCACGAUGAGGAGGGAGUAGUCCACCCUCGGGGCUGAGGGUUUGUACCAGUAGCUAUGUGUUUAAUCUCUCUCUGUCGUGAUCUAUAUCAUGGGCUUUGUUAAUAUAGUCGGAUCAUAUGAUGUUUCUCCCCUCUAUACUCUUGUUGUGAUGAAUUGAAUCUUUACCCUUUGAUGUUUUGUCAUGUCGGAUUGAAUAUUCAGAGAUGAGAACACAUAUUGUCUGUCUUGUGGUAUGAAUACUUGAGGUGACAUUGGGGUAUCUUAUUGAUUCACUUGAUAUAUGUUAUGGCAUUCAACUUGCGGAUUCUCGCAGUGAUAUGGGGGUAAUCUUUGCAUAGGGGUUGAUGCACGUUUUUAUUAUCUUUUCUCCGAUAGAAACUUUGGGGUCCCCUUGUAGUUCUUUGUGUGGAUUGAGUAUUAUGAAUAUGAAUUUUCUUUGGUGUUAUUUUAGUAUAAACUCUUGACUAGAUUGAUCGAAAAGAAUAGCUUGCAUUAUUUUAGUACGAACUCUAGGAUAGAUCGAACGAAAAGAAUAGCUUUGAGGUGAUUUCGUACCCUACAAACAAUUUCUGUCUUUUGUUCUCUACUAAUAGGAACUCGAGAGUGGUUCUUUAUUGCACUUUGAGGGAUAAUCAUAUGAUCCAACUAUGUUAGCAUUGUUGAGGGGUUGCACUAGUGAAAUUACGGACCCUAGGCCUCCUUUUUAAGCAUUGCAACACCAUUUUUGUGCCCGUUUACUAUUUGCUACCUUGCUGUUUUUAUUUAUUCAGAUUAUAAAAAUAUAUUUCUACCAUCCAUAUUACACUUUUAUCACCAUCUCUUCGCUGAAAUAGUGCACCUAUACAAUUUGCCAUUGUAUUGGGUGUGUUGGGGACACAAGAGAUUUCUUGUAUUUGGUUGCAGGGUCGUUUGAGAGAGACCAUCUUAAUCCUACACCUCUCGCGGAUUGAUAAACCUUAGGUCAUCCACUUGAGGGAAAAUUGUUAUUGUCCUACAAAACUCUGCGCUUGGAGGCCCAACACAUGUCCACAAGAAUAAAGUUGUGUAGUAGACAUCAUUACUCGCAACGGGAGACGUCCGAACAUCACUAUGAAGUAAUUGAAACGGAAAAGUGGAAACUGAAGUAGACGCACUAAAGGGAAGACAAACGUGCUUGCCCAAGCGACAAGCCUCACAAGUAUGCUCGUCGAGCUUAUUACAUGAGAAAGAAAAACUCCUAAGGAUUUGAUGCAAAACGGCGGGGUUGGGUGGCCCAAGUGAGCAUGCCAAAGGUCGACGCCGGCAGCGAGGGCGACGGGUGUGGAGGUGGAGGCGCCAACGUGCAUGGGAUAAAGCUCAUCAGUGCUAUCACAUCGGUGAAGCACCAUCUGGGUACAGGUGUCCUUCACAGAAAAACCAACACUGUCAAAUUCAAUAGUAAGUGGAUUCUCAUGAGUAAGACGAGAACGAAAACUAAACUAGUGACUAAGUCAGGUGAGACAAGGACAUUAGACAUAGUGAUAGGUGUGGAAUUAGAAGGAAAACUAGUGCUACCGACAUGAGUGAUAGAUAAAGAGGAACCGUUGCCAACGAUGAUACGAGUGGAUGUGUUAACUGGAGUGGAAGAGGAUAGGUUACCGGGAUGAGUUGUCAUGUGCGCAGUAGCACCCGAGUCCAUGUACCAGUCGCCUCCACCGCCAUAGUUACUCGGUGAUGGCGCCGAGUGUAGGGCAGCCAGGAGGGCGGGGUCCCAUGGUGCAGGUACCGGUGGCGGCGGCUGACCUCCAUAGGGCGGCGCCCGGGCGGGCGCGCCGUAGCCACUGAGGGGUGGCGGCGCGAGCGGAGCACCAUUGGGCUAGUAUGGGCUGCCGAUUAAUGCAUGGUGGCCUGUGGGACGGGGACCAAGGACACCCGGUGUAGGGGGCCGCCGUACGAGCAUGUGAUAUGCGUGGACAACACCCGUCCACGGGUUCUGCCCGGCGACCCACGGCGGGGGCGACUGCUGGUAGUGGGACGCCCCCUGUGCUCGGCGCCUGCGGCUGCUGCUGGCGGUGGCCCCCGCCGUCCCGCCAGUUGCGUCGGCCCCGCCACCUUGCGGCUGCUGGGGAGGCGCGGGGGGCGCGAGCGGUGCGGGCGGCAGCGGGUAGUAGCCGAUGGGCGCGGGCGGCGCCGGCUGAUGGGGCGGGGCCGGAGGAGCAAGCCCGCUGCGGGUGGUGCCGGCGGCAAGGUGAUGACCCACAAGUAUAGGGGAUCAAUUGUAGAUCUUUUCGAUAAGUAAGAGUGUCGAACCCAACGAGGAGCAGAAGAAAAUGAUAAGUAAUUUUUAGUAAGGUAAUGUCUGCAGGUGCUAAAAUUGUAAGUAGCGGAGUAGUUUAAUAGCUAGAUAAUUUGUAACGAGCAAGUAACGGUAGUAGUAACAAAAGUGCGGCAAGGUAGUCCAAUCCUUUUAAUGCAAAGGACAUGCCAAAACGGUCUCUUAUGAUAAGCAAAGCGUUCUUGAGGGUACACCAGAAUUUCAUCUAGUCACUUUCAUCAUGUUGGUUUGAUUUGUGUUCGCUACUUUGAUAAUUUGAUAUGUGGGUGGACCGGUGCUUAGGUGAUGUUCUUACUUGAACAAACCUCCUACUUAUGAUUAACCCUCCCGCAAGCAUCCGCAACUACGAGAAAAGUAUUAAGAAUAAAUUCUAACCAUAGCAUUAAAAUUUUGGAUCCAAUCGGUCCCUUACGAAAUAGCGCAUAAAGUGGGGUUUAAGCUUCUGUCACUCUCGCAACCCACCAUCUAAUUGCUACUCCAUAAUGCAUUCCCUUGGGCCCAAAUAUGAUGAAGUUUCAUGUAGUCGAUGUUCACAUGACACCAUUAAGGGAAUAACAACAUACAUAUUAUCAAAAUAUCGAACACAUAUCAAGUUCACAUGAUUACUUGCAACAUGAUUUCUUCCGUGACCUUAAGAACAAAAGUGACUACUCAAGAAUGAUAAACAUGUUCAUGAUCAGAGGAGUAUUUGAUAGCAUAAUGGAUCUAAACAUGUAAUCUUCCACCAAAUAAACCAUAUAGUAAUCAACUACAAGAUGUAAUCAACACUACUAGUCACCCCACAAGCACCAAUCUAUAGUUCCGGUAAUAAGAUUGAACACAAGAGAUGAAAUAGGGUUUGAGAGGAGAUGGUGUUGUUGAAGAUUUUGAUGGAGAUUGCCCUCCCCAAGAUGGGAGAGUUUCUACUGAUGCAUAUAGACAUGUUUGACUUUUGAAAAAUAAAGGACGCCGAUAACGCCCAUACGUGUGGCAUACUAGACAUCCGCCCACACACCGUGUGUGGCGUGAGCAAGAGGUAGCACACACGAUCUGUGUGUGGGCGAACAUUAGAAUUGCCCACACGUGUGGGCGCAUCUACUUUGUGCCACACGCCCAACAAGUACUACUCAUCUUCAUCCCACGCGUGUGGCACGAAACAAAAAUGCCCACACGUCCUGCCGCAACUACGUUAGGUACCCCAUGGGAUCACGAUUUAGUUGUCAUCCGGGAUGGCAGAUGUAGUUAUUCGGGAUGGCAAAUGUAGUUGUAAAAGCAUGGCAACUCUAUUUGUUUUGGUUCACUAUAGUUGUCAUGUCUAAUUUAUGGUAAUUGCCGCGUGUAAUCAAACCAUAGUUGCCGUGUAUGAUUAACUACUUGCCACAUAUGGUCAAACAGUAGUUGCCAUGUGUGUUUACCUAGUUGUCACGUGUGGUCCAACCAUAUUUGCCAUGUAUGGUUAAUCACUACAAGAAAUAUGUCAACUAGUGACCUUCUGUCAGUGACCCUGGAAGAAUUGGUCAUAGAUCUAUGAUCAUUUCAGACCAAUUGGUCAAAAGCUGUUCGGGGGGCUCCAAAUCCUAAACCAUUGCGACCAUUUUGGUCAGAAAGGCCGUAAUUUCCUUACAUGAAAUGGUCAUAAAGAAAACAGUGCUGGUCCGCUGCCUUAUUUCUAGUUGUUAACGACCAAUAUAGAUGGUCAUAGCCUUGUAGAUUGUGGUGGGUUGUGAUGACUAGGCGCCAUCUCAUCAAUUUUGCCUAUGUGUCAUGUCCAUGUGUCAAUUUUUGCCCUAGGUUGUGAAGCAACCUAUAUUUCUGUUAUUCCAAAAAUUCCCAAAAAAUUCUCAUAAAUAGUUUGGAUCAUAUCUUCAUCAAAUAUGUCAAAAACCUUCCUUGACUAGUUCAAAAAUAACUCAACAAUAUUCAUUUUCCUAUUCUAUUCAAAGCAGCACUUUGUGAAGGAAGUACCACUUUGGCAUGUCCAAAUGGUAUCCAUUUUCUACAGUGCUUUCCUAUGCCCAAAUAACCAUCCUCCACCAAAUCCCAGCUCAAUCCAUUCAUUGUUUUGAGCCCAGCUUCAACAUUCGUAUUUAUGUCUGGUGUGGUACUUUGCAAAGCAAGUACCACCUAGGCUCCUCCUUUUGAGCUGAAAAUUUGUGAAGACGGUCUUCUUAGUAACUGAUCAUCCUCAGCCAAAACUCACGCCAUUAGCAAUGUGCAUUUCUCGUACCGCUAAUCAAACACUUGGCUGCUUAUUCAUGUUUGAGCAUCGAUCGAUCUCCUCGUGAGAAUCUUAUGUUGUGAUUUUAUUCCUAGCACCUACCUGGGGAGCGCCCAACCCACUAGACAUGCCUAGGCCGCCGAGAACACAUGGCAACGCCGCGGUCACGCGGUGACCACGCGGCGGGCAUGCGAGUUUACGCGCUCUAGAGUUGGGGCCCUCGGGCACCGUCCAAACCUCGACGUAUCGCCACCAGACCAUGUAUUUAUGAUUUAAUAGGUACUUAUGUAACUAGAAAUGAUUUUUGGAAAAAAUAAAUAACAAACUAUGAGGCAGCUGCAGUUCAAAUUUGACCCGCUUCCUACUGAAUCGGAGGGAAUUUGUCUUUUUCACCAGAGGUGGAUCAAAACUUUUGACACCCAACCAUUUUGUCAAUUGUGAAUUAAAUAUGUCCUAGAAUUUUAGAAAAUUGAUUUGUUCCAAUUUUGCAACAAAUAUAUGGUAGGUCCUUCAUAAAAAAAACUCAUUUCAGGCACUCGAAAAAUGGAAAAUGAAUUUUUCGUGCAAAGAAAAUGAAAACUCCCUUAGGCAACAUUGUUUGGAAUUCCAAGAUGCCCCCUUGUGCACAAUAUAUGAUCAUUUGAACAAACUAUGCCAUGAAUGUGGCCAUAAGAUUGAUCAUUUGGCUUGAAAGCCAUGAAUCUUCACGCAUGAUAGCUCGUUUCUGAGAACACUUUUUAAAAAUAAUUUCCGUAUUACAAGUUUAUUAUUUUUCCUGGAAACUUGGUCACAUAUAUUGACACAAUGCGAAGGUUUUCCAAUUUUUUGAUUUUUUUGAAUUUUUUAUGUCCGUUUGAAAAUGCGGUCAAAACGGCGGGCUUGACUGUUCCUAGCUAGUGGUUGAAUCUUGGAAAACUUUUGAUGUUUCUCUGAUUAAAUAGGUAUUUAUUUACCUAGAAAUGAUUUUUUGGAAAAUAAAUAGCAAACUAUGAGGCAGCUCCAGUUCAAAUUUGACCCGCUUCCUACUGAAUCGGUGAAAAUUUGUCUUUUUCACCAGAGAUGGACCAAAGCUUUUGACACCCAACAAUUUUUCCAAUUGUGCAUUAAAUAUGGCCUGGUAUUUUAGAAAACUGAUUUGGUCCAAUUUUGCAAUAAAUAUAUUGUAGGUCCUUCACAAAAAAAACCUCAUUUCGGGCACUCGAAAAAUGGAAAAUGAAUUUUUCAUUCAAAGAAAAUGAAAACUCCCUUUGACAACAUUGUUUGGAAUUCCAAGAUGCCCCCUUGUGCACAAUAUGAGAUCAUUUGAGCAAACUAUGCCAUGAAUGUGGCCAUAAGAUUGAUCAUUUGGCGUGAAAGCCAUGAAUCUUCACGCAUGACACCUCGUUUCUGAGAAAACUUUUUUAAAAUAAUUGCCGUAUUACAAGUUUAUUAUUUUUCCUGGAAACUUGGUCACAUAUAAUGACAUAAUGCGAAGGUUUUCCAAUUUUUUGAUUUUUUUUUGAUUUUUUAUGCCCGUUUCAAAAUGCGGUCAAAACGGCGGGCUUGACCGUUCCUAGCUAAUGGUUGAAUCUUGGAAAACUUUUGACGUUUCUCUAAUUAAAUAGGUACUUAUGUAACUAGACAUGAUUUUUCGAAAAAAUAAAUAGCAAACUAUGAGGCAGAUGCAGUUCAAAUUUGACCCGCUUCCUGCUGGAUCAGCAAAAAUUUGUCUUUUUCACCAGAGAUGGACCAAAGCUUUUGACACCCAACCAUUUUGUCAAUUGUGCAUUAAAUAUGGCCUGGUAUUUUAGAAAAUUGAUUUGGUCCAAUUUUACAAUAAAUAUAUUGUAGGUCCUUCACAAAAAAAACUCAUUUUGGGCACUCGAAAAAUGGAAAAUGAAUUUUUCGUUCAAAGAAAAUGAAAACUCCCUUUGGCAACAUUGUUUGGAAUUCCAAGAUGCCCCCUUGUGCAUAAUAUGAGAUCAUUUUAACAAACUAUGCCAUGAAUGUGGCCAUAAGAUUGAUCAUUUGGCAUGAAAGCCAUGAAUCUUCACGCAUGAUAGCUCGUUUCUAAGAACACUUUUUUAAAAUAAUUGCUGUAUUACAAGUUUAUUAUUUUUACUGGAGACUUGGUCACAUAUAAUGACACAAUGCGAAGGUUUUCCAAUUUUUUGAUUUUUUUUGAAUUUUGUAUGCCCGUUUCAGAAUGCGGUCAAAACGGAGGGCUUGGCCGUUCCUAGCUAGUGGUUGAAUAUGGGAAAACUUUUGAUGUUUCUCUGAUUAAAUAGGUACUUAUGUAACUAGAAAUGAUUUUUGGAAAAAAAAAGUAGCAAACUAUGAGGCAGUUGCAAUUCAAAUUUGACCCACUUCUUGCUGGAUCAGCGAAAAUUUGUCUUUUUCACCAGAGACGGACCAAAGCUUUUGACACCCAACUGUUUGGUCAUUUAUGCAUUAAAUAUGGCCUGGUAUUUUAGAAAAUUGAUUUGGUCCAAUUUUGCAAUAAAUAUUUUGUAGGUCCUUCACAAAAAAACUCAUUUCGGGCACUCAAAAAAUGGAAAAUGAUUUUUUCGUCCGAAGAAAAUGAAAACUUCCUUAGGAAACAUUGUUUGACAUUCCAAUAUGCACCCAUGUGCACAAUAUGAGAUCAUUUGAACAAACAAUGUCAUGAAUGUGGCCAUAAGAUUGAUCUUCUGGCUUGAAAGGCAUUGAUCUCCACACAUGAUAGCUCGUUUCUGAGAACACUUUUUUAAAAUAAUUGUCGUAUUACAAGUUCACUAUUUUUUGGUAACUUGGCCACAUAUAAUGACACAAUGUGAAGGUUUUCCAAUUUUUUGAUUUUUUUUAAUUUUUUAUGCCCGUUUCAAAAUGCGGUCAAAACAGCAGGAAUGACCGUUCCAAGCUAGUGGUCGAAUAUUGGAUUUUUUUUGGUGUUUCUCUGAUUAAAUAGAUAAUUUUGUACCUAGAAAUGAUUUUUAGAAAAAAUAAAUAGCAAACUGUGAGGCAGCCGCAGUUCAAAUUUGACCCGCUUCCAACUGAAACAGCGGAAAUUUGUCUUUUUCACCAGAGGUGGAUCAAAACUUUUUACACCCAACCAUUUGGUCAAUUGUGCAUUAAAUAUGGCCUAGUAUUUUAGAAAAAUGAUUUGGUCCAGUUUUGCAAUAAAUAUAUUGUAGGUCCUUCACACAAAAAACCUAAUUUUGGGCACUCAAAAAAUGGAAAAUGAUUUUUUCGUCCAAAGAAAAUGAAAACUUUCUUAGGGAACAUUCUUUGUCAUUCCAAGAUGCACCCUUGUGCACGAUAUGAGAUCAUUUGAACAAACUAUGUCAUGAAUGUGGCCAUAAGAUCGAUCAUUUGGCUUGAAAGCGAUGAAUCUUCACACAUGAUAGCUAAUUUUUUAGAACAUUUUUUUAAAAUAAUUACCGUAUUACAAGUUUAUUGUUUUUUCUGGUAACUUGGCCACAUAUAAUGACACAAUGCGAAGGUUUUCCAAUUUUUCGAUUUUUUUGAAUUAUUCACGCCCAUUUCAAAAUGCGAUCAAAACGGCGGGCAUGACCGUUCCUAGCUAGUGGUUGAAUCUUGGAAAACUUUUGGUGUUUCUCUGAUUAAAUAGAUACUUUUGUACCUAGAAAUGGAUUUUGGGAAAAAUAAAUAGCAAACCAUGAGGCAGCCACAGUUCAAAUUUGACCCGCUUCCACGUGAAUCGACGGAAAUUUGUCUUUUUCACGAGAGGUGGAUAAAAACUUUUGACUCCUAACCAUUUGGUCAAUUGUACAUUAAAUAUGGCCUAAUAUUUUUUUUAAAUGAUUUGGUCCAAUUCUGCAACAAAUAUACGGUAUGUCCUUCACAAAAAACUCAUUUUGGGCACUCGAAAAAAUAGAAAAUGAUUUUUUUCAUCCAAAUAAAAUGAAAACUUCCUUAGGCAACAUUGUUUGCCAUUUCAAGAUGCACCCUUGUGCACGAUAUGAGAUCAUUUGAACAAACUAUGCCAUGAUUGUGGCCAUAAGAUUGAUCAUUUGGCUUAAAAGCCAUUGAUCUUCAUACAUGAUAACUCGGUUUCAAGAACACUUUUUAAGACAUUUAAUGUAGUCAAAGUUUAUUAUUUUUACUGUAAACUAGGUCAGAUAUAAUGCCAUAAUGCGAAAGUUUUUUUUGUUUUUUUGAAUUUCUUUCAAAAUGUUGUCAAAACGGCGGGUAUGACUACGGGUCUUUGGUCACCGACAACGUGACGACGAUGAACUCCUCGCUUGCGACCACCUCCUUGAUGCCUUGCUCUUCUACGUGCCAAGGUCCUUGUUGGCGGCCUUGCUGGAUAAAAAUCCAGAGCUUCUUUAUUCAGUAUUGCCGCCCCCGCCCCCGAAGUUGAGACAUCGAAUGAUACAAAAACCUAAGCUGCUAGGACCCUAAAACCUAAAGCUAAAAUGAUCCACACACGCGGGAUCCAACGACCCUCCUCACCCUCGACAACCAAGAAGUCACCGGCGGAGGGGAACGGCCGAAAGACGGCGCCAAAAGAGUCGGUUCUCUUAGCCAAAGAGAUCUGCACUUUAUUUUCAGCCGGUUACGACCUACUUAGAUGGUCAUGGACGUCACACACAUGUAGUCUGUUUUGAUUGGUUCAGAGGCAUGUCAUGCGGAUCAUGGAUCGAGCACCGUCCGAUCCACCCGGAUCCAACGGCAGCGCUCCAUCCUCACCUUCUCACCCCACCUAGCCCAACAACCCACAGGCCACAACCCGCACUCCUCCCUCGUCCCCUGCGAACCCUAACGCUCCCUGAUCCCUCCCACCACCCCUCCCCUCGCCGCCACCCACCCCUCCCUCGCUCUCCUCCCNNNNNNNNNNNNNNNNNNNNNNNNNNNNNNNNNNNNNNNNNNNNNNNNNNNNNNNNNNNNNNNNNNNNNNNNNNNNNNNNNNNNNNNNNNNNNNNNNNNNNNNNNNNNNNNNNNNNNNNNNNNNNNNNNNNNNNNNNNNNNNNNNNNNNNNNNNNNNNNNNNNNNNNNNNNNNNNNNNNNNNNNNNNNNNNNNNNNNNNNNNNNNNNNNNNNNNNNNNNNNNNNNNNNNNNNNNNNNNNNNNNNNNNNNNNNNNNNNNNNNNNNNNNNNNNNNNNNNNNNNNNNNNNNNNNNNNNNNNNNNNNNNNNNNNNNNNNNNNNNNNNNNNNNNNNNNNNNNNNNNNNNNNNNNNNNNNNNNNNNNNNNNNNNNNNNNNNNNNNNNNNNNNNNNNNNNNNNNNNNNNNNNNNNNNNNNNNNNNNNCCUCCGGUAAGAUCCAGCAUGCUCCAAGAUCCCCAUGCUCUUCUCCUCCCUCCCUCCCCUCCCCUCCGGCAAGAUCCAGCGUGCGUCCUCCCUCUCCUUGAUCUAGAUCGGGGCACCUCACCGCCCCGCCUUCGUCUCCCUCCUUCUCCCACCCGAUGGAGCCCGCGGUGGGGGAAAGCGAGGGGCCAAACACCCGCUUCCAACACACAAGGUCUCGGCUUCCCCUCCCAUCGCCGCACCACUCGUCCGCUAGCUCCCCACGCAGGCGGAUUCGGAUGGAGGCGGCCGUCACCGGCGGCGGCAAUGGGCUGGGUACCAUGAGCGCUGUGCUCGCCAUCUGACACCAUCCUCCAGUGGUGGGGAUUCAACAUCGCCGUCAUCAACAAGCGGGUAUUCUAGGUAUCCCCUUCUCCCCUCUCGCAUUUCAUCUUACCACUGCCCAGACCAGGAUGCCACCACGCUUGCUCAGAACUGUGUUUCAGGAUGCCACCAGGCUCCACUUCUUGACCAGAUUUCAUAAAUGUGCCGCCAGAUCUUGCCACACUGGGCAUCAGGACCGCUAGAUGCUUCUCUCACGGUGGUCAAGCCAAGCUCUCCUACGGUGGUUAGAACGGGCGUCGUCAACCCCGCCACCCCCUCUUCCGCCGGGUCUCCCAAGAGGCCAUGCAUCCUGCCGCGACCACCUCUACUAUGCGACGGUGGUGGCCGACCUACAAUGCGACCGCUGCAUCGCCAGUAACCUCUUCGGUGAGCACUUUACCUCUGCCUCCCUCCUCUGCCUAGAUCCCAUGACUGAGCCACACUCUGUAGCAUGUAGAUUACUGCUUGUAUGGCCAUGAGGAAUGAAAUAAUUUUGCAGCUAAUAAUUCUAGUUUCUUCUUGGAGGAGUUGCUGCACCACUAGUUGUUUCUAUUGUGUGCUGGACAGUAGAUGUGGAUAGCAUGCAUGCUAUUUCUUAGGACAUUAAGCUACGGAAGGAUAAACUGACAUAAGUAUGCUAGUCUGAAGGGUCGAUAACUCACAUUUGUUUCUGAAUUUAGUAGGUUUAUCUGUCUGUGGUCCUCAAUGUAUUAAAUGACAGCCAAAGGUAUCCAUCUAUAGAGGCUUAUCUACUAACUGUUGGACCUUGGAGGCUUAUAGUGCGAUGAAAGCCAAAUGUAUCUAACUAGCCAGUCGACAGGCUAAAACCACUAGCUAUAAAAUGACAUCAAGUUCUGGUUUACAUGCUAUUCUCGUCGUUCAUGCCGACAGACCUUCUACUAUAGUGUUUAGAAUAGAUUGAGUCUGCUAGCCCUCCUUUUUGUUUUUGUUCUUAUUUUGGACAGAUGCUUGGGGUGCAUACUUUCUAGAAUCUGCAUUUGGAUUUGCAGUUUGCAUUGUCGAAGAAAAUUCUCGAUUGUUUGAUUGAUGUUCUGACUUUUAUGUGGACCAGUCGUCCAUUCUCUAAAUCAUUCUUUUAAUCCUACUACCCUUUUUGUAUCCAUGUACUGUUUAUCUUGUUUAAGCAUUAAUGUAUACUUUUCUUUCAGCAAUGGCAACACAAGCAGGAACCUUGGCUACUCCUCGUUUAAGUCCCCAAGUGGUAGGGUUCUCUGUUCACGGGAGUCACCAUCUAGGCAUGCUUGAUGCUUCACCAGAAUGCUGCAUUGUUCUUUAGCUGUCGAUUGUCUGUGUAGAUUGACUGUAUCGAGUUGAGGGCUUGAGGCAGGCUGUAGGUGAUUAGAACAACCACCUGUUAAGUAAGAUCGGCUGUAGUGUAUGCUCUGAACAUAAGCUUGCGUUGCUGCCAGUGUAGUGUAUGCUCUGAACACAAGAUCCUUUACUUGCUCUGGUUUGGUUAAGACUGAUGAUGCCGUGGAUAAGAAAACAAUUUAAAAGGUCUGUUGAAACAAGGUGGAAGCAUGUUUUUUCUUGCAACGUACCCUAAAACCCUAAACCCUUUUUAUUUGAACUUGUUAGUUACGUUCUGGAGUCUGGAAUUUUUGAAUCAAUAUCUAUCUGAUUAAUGCAUGCCUUGUUUUGUUUUUUAGUUUGUUGCAAAACAUAUAUGUGGUGUAUCUGAUUAGUUAUGUUGUAAAAGAAUGCUUGUCUCUGACACUGUUAUUCUUAUGUUGAUAUAUGUGCCCAGUUUUGUGUGUUUUGAAUCAAUAUCUAUCCGAUUAAUUACUGACCAUGGUGAGCUAGAUCCAAACAACAAGACACUUACAUUAACUUCGCACUUUGAGUCCUUGUAAUUAUGAUAGUGUGGAACUAUAUUUUGUACACAUAGUCAACUAGUUUUCGUUUUAUAUUUUCUUGCUUAUGUGGAACUAUAUUUUCUCAUUUUUCUAAUUAUGACAUGGAUGAUAUGAAAUAUCAGAAUUGUUUCUGUUACAUGGUGUGCUGCAGGAAAGCCCCUGUGUAGGUUUAUUGUCUCGUAAUUGGGCAAUUAUUUUCUUGCAGGGGGCCACCCGUUCUAGCUCGCUUUGACCCUCUUUUGCUCUGUAGUGGUCCUGGUACAUGAAAAGUAGGUCCUUUUAAAUGUUUUGCUUCCUUGGUUGCAUUCUGUUGUACACUCAAAAAUAUUUUCAAUUUAGUGACAAGCAAACAAUAAAAUAGUCAAAAGGCUUUUAUUUAAUGUGCUUUUCGAAAAUGAAAAUGUGUUGUGAUGUUCUCCUCUUUCUGUUGACAUGUAUGUUGAGUAAUAUCAAGCCAUAAUUAUAGUCACUCCAAGACAUGCUCAAAUGUAGUUGCACGUACAGAUUUGUGGCUCUGAGGUACAGUUUUAAGAUGAGAUACGUAUAUAUGGAACAUGAAAGUAUUACCGUUUGUUAGGACAUGAUGACUGUUUGUUUACUGCUUUAUGAUUUUGUGUAGAGUUGCGUCCUUCUUGUCCCCUUUUACCCAAGGCCAUCUUGUUGUGUCAAUGGGUGUGUUGCCGUUUCAAGUUUUGUGUAUGUGCAUAUGUACAUAGCAGUAGACUAGACUGUUGUGAUUGUAUAUUACCUUCGUCCCUUCUUAGAUUUUUCUAGAUACGGAUGUAUCUAACACUAAAAUGUGUCUAUACAUCCGUAUCUAGACAAAUCUAAGACAAGAAUUUUGGGAUGGAGGCAAUGUUUUCGUGUUGUCGAGUCAUUCUGGGGUAGCGACUCUUGAUGACUUGUGCCUGGCUGAUCGACUAGUCUCUACUAGUCGAGAGGUUGAGUCGACAGCUGGCAGUGCGGCUCGUCGACUAGUCGCGUGGAUGGAGGGAGUACUUGCUUUGCAGCCCGACAAGACAAUAUUGUGUUUGCUGGAAACUGAACUCUCUUCUAUGUUUGGUUGAUGCAGUUCCUUCCAUUCAUUUUUUUGUUUCUUUGAUUUGGAUGCAACAGGUUCCCUUCAUGAACGAGGACAUGGACAUGUACCUCGACGGUGAGCUCAUCCACCACUACCACCUCGACUCCGCGCGCAAGGUCAAUUCCUCUCUCUUGUCUGUGAGGUUUUUUUUCAAGUUGUGUCUUCUCCAUUGUAGCCUGCUAGUUUCUGUUCUGGUCCUGAAACCAAACUAGGUAGGAUGGCCUUGUGACCUCCUGAAUGUCGAGGCUUUGGUUGUCAUAUCGUGUUUGGUUGAUCCUGUAUGAUGUGUACUUGCUUGAUGGUCACCUAUUAGCUAAGGUUCUCAUAUCAUGUUUGGUGCUCAUAUGUGCUUGCUUGAUGGUUCUCAUAUCAUGUUUGGUGGAUCCUUUAUCAUGUUUGGUUCUCAUUAGCUAAGAUUGUUAUGUUUUGCUACUGAAUCGUAUUUCAUCAGCCUUCACGUGAUCAAGCUCACUCUUAUUAUUAAUUGCCAACAAUUGCUACUGGAUACACACAGUUUUUCCCAUGUUAUUAUCGAUGUUCUACUCUAGGACGGUUUGACACUCGCAUUGUGUGUGCUCCUCUUCACACUAGACUCUUUAGUUUCUAUCUCAUGUUCAUAGCGUUCUAGUUUGUCAACGACAUAGUAUCCCCUAUGAUCUCUUAGUGAAAUGAGAGGUUUGAUUGAUGCUGUAUAGGAUUGACUAGUUUUGCUUAAUGCCAUAUGUCUUAUGCAAUCAGAUUACAUUUCUGUUUGUUAUGGUAAUAUAAAAAAUAACCGUGUUGUCAAAAUUUUCACAGUGCGUGCCUUUUAUUUCUUUAGUUUGAUUGUUUCCCUUGUAUUCAAUAUGCUUCUAAUGCCUGAUCCUUUCAUUUUUGUUGUGGCAUCUUUAUUUUCAUAGGUGCUGUGUGUCCUAGAAGAUGGAAGAGGAAGGAAGAUGGAAGAGGAAGAAAACUUAUUUUUGUUGAACUAAAUUUUCUGUAUUUUGUUUUGUUGUACGUAUCAUUUGAUAGUUUUGUAUAGGAACAAGUGAUACUAUUUUGAAGGGCUUUAUGGCCUGUGAUGUAAACAUAUUUAGUGCUGAAAUAUGAAAUUAUUUGCAAAAUUUGUCAAAAAGGAGGAUCAUUUGUAUGAAUAUGUGAAUGGGCUGAAAAGAGUAUUGGACCAACUACUGGAUUGAAUUAUUAUUUGAAUGUAUAAAAAGGCUGAAUGUAAACCAGAAAUGGGCUGCAAAAAAUUGUACCUAUACUCUUGAAAGGCCAAAUGUGCAUAAAAA
rnacentral:lncRNA from 1 species